CUCUGUCUCAAAAAUAAAAUAAAAUUGGAAUGAUACAGAGAAGAUUAGCAUGGCUCCU
ensembl:snRNA U6 U6 spliceosomal RNA